UCCGUGUAAAGGAAUCUACUCCUGUGAGUAGAUCAAUGAUCGCACAAGAGAGCAACCCAACCGUGCGAGUAGAUCGCAUGUAAACAUGCACUGUAGCUCGCAUUGCAUGAAUAACACCUGUUCCAGUUUUCUCCGCUCUCUUCCCUGUCUAUCUUCCCACUGCCCCCUCUCUCUCUUUCUCCGCUUCCUCUUCCCACUCUACCUCUCUUCCUGUUUCAUCACUUCCCUCACUCUCCUCCUCUGUCUUUCAUAGCUUUUUUCUGUGGUUUCUUAUUUGCAUGCUUGAGCAGCCUUCUCCGUUGAAGAAACCCUAAGUAUAGGUCUGGGAAGAAGAAAAUCUAGCAGUUCGGGUUUCUUAUUUUUUCACAUGCUCCACUUUUCUCUGCUCUCUUCCUUGUUUAUCUUCCCACUGCCCCCUCUUUCUUUCUCCGCUUCCUCUUUCCACUCUACCUCUCUUCCUAUUUCAUCACUUCCCUCACUCUCCUCCUUUAUCUUUUUCAGCUUUUUUUCUGUGGUUUCUUAUUUGCAUGCUUGAGCAGCCUUCUCCGUUGAAGAAACCCUAAGUCUAGCAAUUCGGGUUUCUUAUUUUUUGUUUCUUAUUGUUUGUUCUAAAUGAAACCCUCUUUUCCCCUGAUUUUAGCUCAGUUGAUAAAGUGAAGGACUGCAAAUGGGUUUGUCGCUACUUUGAAUCUAGGUUUCUUUGGCUUUUCCCUUAAUCUUGCUGGUUCUCUUUGUUUUCCGAUUGCAGGGGUUUUUGCUGACAUUAUUUCCUCUAUUCUAGAGGUAGAAAGCUGGUUUUUGGGUUUUAUUUCUUGUACUAGCACUAGUGCCCGACGAUGACCUUCUUGCUAACAAAUGUCUUUGGCUACGAUUAUUGUAGAGUUGUUGCUGGUUUCGGUUGGUGUUUCAACUUUUCUUUUGUAGUUUGUACUCCGAUUUGCCAGUUGUUUAGUUUUUUCCUAGGGUUCCUACAUGGUACAUCUAUGUUCCUUGGUUUUAUUCGUUUUGAUCUAUUACUAAACAGGUACAGGAAAAAGUUUUUUGCCCACUAUUUUCAUUUGGUUCACCUCUGUUUUUUGCAUUUUGGAACGUUUGGAAAUUUAAGAAAGUUUUCUAUUGUAUAUUUAUUUCACAUGUCAUUGCUUUAACCCUUGUUUAUGCAAUUUCUACAUAUUUAAGAUGUUGGGGUUUCUGUUCCUCAAGUUACCUCCAUGGAUCAUGAUUAGGUCUAUGCUUAAGAAAGGCUUCUUCUUUCUGUAUGGUUCAUGUUUUCCCUUAAUUUGUUGUCUAUUUAAUUAUUUGUUGCUUAUUUGAUUCCGGUUUAUUAAAUUGUUUCUUGCUUGCUUGGUUAUUUGAUUUGUGUUUUGUAGGGUAUUUUUGUUGCUUAUUUGAUUUGUGCUUUUGCAAGGGGUAGCCAAUGGAUGCAUUAGGUUGGUUUGUGUUGGAGAUGGAGGUUGAAGGCUAACCAAUCCAUCCACUAGCCGCCCAUGUCAAAUUGUCAAUUAUGUGACUAAUGAUUUAAGUUGAGGAGAAAGAGGGAACAUCUCCAUCUUUGGGCUUAGAGGCAAGUUCGUGGUUGGUGUGCUGAAGUCUUGCAUAAGUAUUGGAGGCAAACCCAUGGAGAGGAGCUUCAAAGCCCAUAUAUGUGUUGCACCCAUAGGGAAAACCAGUUAUGCACAAUGAAAACAAGAAGAAGCCGCAGGUCUCAUUUGGUUUUGUGAGUUGUGUUUACCUGAACAAAUCCUAUCUUAUUCACAGCUGAUGUUUUCAUAUUCUAUGGUGAAGUUGAAAGAGAGAUUGGGCUCUUGUUUUCCAGAGGAGGAAAGUGGAGAUCUGAAAUAGGAAAUAAGACUAAGCAAUCAAGAACUGGGACAAGGUUUCAAAUGCUUGUGGAGGAUAUCAGGGAGGGAGUAACCGAGGUUUACACCAAGUCCUGGACACCUGCCACUCAGUGAUUGGUUAGUGCAGGAAAUCCAGGCUCAAAUCAUUCUGCUUCCAUUCCUAAUCUUCCUCUGGUUUCUAAAUAACCGACUUAUGUAUCAGACAUUCAGGAUUCAACAUGAACCAGUAAAUGAUGUCCUACUUUAUUUAGGUUAUUCCCAUGUUUAAAAAUCUUGGUAUCUCACCUUGAGAUUCAUGGUACGAGUUAAUAUUGUCAUUGCUGCCUUAGAUACUGAUGAACUUCUUGAGUAACGAUUGUUUCUUCCUUUGUGCCAAAUCUGUAACGUGGGACUCGAGACAUUUUAUAUAUGAUUGAGCAACAUGGUAUUCGAAGAUGAGAAUGAGGCGGUCAGAUAUUGCGACCUUACUACAAGGAGGAGGUCAAGGCAGUCACAACAUGUUCCAAUUACACGGUGGGGUGCGGAUGUGAGGUCGGUGUGAGGAGCGCUCUCUAAGAUGUGGCCAUUAGAUUAUAUUUGCUAAUUAAAUUAAUACUAAAAAAUUGUAGAAAAGAAUCCAAUGCGAUGUUGAUUAUAAUAUAUUGUUUAAGAUUUUUAUUACAA